UACGUAGGUGGCAAGCGUUAUCCGGAAUUAUUGGGCGUAAAGAGCGCGCAGGUGGUUAAUUAAGUCUGAUGUGAAAGCCCACGGCUUAACCGUGGAGGGUCAUUGGAAACUGGUUGACUUGAGUGCAGAAGAGGGAAGUGGAAUUCCAUGUGUAGCGGUGAAAUGCGUAGAGAUAUGGAGGAACACCAGUGGCGAAGGCGGCUUCCUGGUCUGCAACUGACACUGAGGCGCAAAAGCGUGGGGAGCAAACAGG
rnacentral:rRNA from 1 species